AUUGAACGCUGGCGGCAGGCCUAACACAUGCAAGUCGAGCGGAUGAAGGGAGCUUGCUCCUGGAUUCAGCGGCGGACGGGUGAGUAAUGCCUAGGAAUCUGCCUGGUAGUGGGGGAUAACGUCCGGAAACGGGCGCUAAUACCGCAUACGUCCUGAGGGAGAAAGUGGGGGAUCUUCGGACCUCACGCUAUCAGAUGAGCCUAGGUCGGAUUAGCUAGUUGGUGGGGUAAAGGCCUACCAAGGCGACGAUCCGUAACUGGUCUGAGAGGAUGAUCAGUCACACUGGAACUGAGACACGGUCCAGACUCCUACGGGAGGCAGCAGUGGGGAAUAUUGGACAAUGGGCGAAGGCCUGAUCCAGCCAUGCCGCGUGUGUGAAGAAGGUCUUCGGAUUGUAAAGCACUUUAAGCUGGGAGGAAGGGCAGUAAGUUAAUACCUUGCUGUUUUGACGUUACCAACAGAAUAAGCACCGGCUAACUUCGUG
rnacentral:rRNA from 1 species